rnacentral:tRNA from 1 species
GCCCCGAUGGCGUAGCGGAGAACGCGUCGGACUACGAAUCCGAAGAUCCCAGGUUCGAAUCCUGGUCGGGGCA